UAGCACUAUUUCAGUUGUCAUUGAGUAUCCAUUUUAAAAACUAUCAGUUGAUUAAUCGGUUAUUGGCUAGUGUGGUCCAACCUAGCUAUCGGUAUCGAUAAAAUCCAUUAUCGGUCGACCUCUAAUUUUAAUACUUUGGCCCAAACAACAGUCCGGACAAGAUGACAGUAGUUGCCAAGAGUUAUAGCCAGUGUGAAGAUUUUGAGUUAAAUGUAAUCAUUUGUCGGCAAGUGUAUGAUGCCUAGUGUGUUCAGAUUUAAACGCCGUGGUGUACUCCAGCCUUUUCCCACAACUUGCACAUUAUUUCCUGUGGCAGCUAUACAAACCCAAAGCAUAACUUAAAAUGUCGUUCUUUUCAUCACAUUGGUUCCCCUUUUUUUCUGUAACAUACUUUUGACUGCAGCCAAUUAAAUUCAAGAAUCAAAAAGGUUCUUGUGUGAAAAGUGGAUCAGUGGAAGAGUGUUUUUUUUUUUAAUGAAUUAAUUUAAUGAAUCCAUGCCAUUUGUGAACUUACAGAGCACAUUGUUGGGUCUGCAA